UAACAUCUGCUGCCAAUCUUCCUCUUUUUUUUCUAAUUGAGCCCCCAGUACAUAGUUGUAUAUUCUUAGUUGUGGGUCCUUCUACUUGUGGCAUGUGGGACGCCGCCUCAUCGUGGUUUUGAUGAGCAGUGCCAUGUCCGCGCCCAGGAUUCGAACCAACGAAACACUGGGCCACCUGCAGCGGAGCGCGUGAAAUUAACCACUCGGUUAAUUUCGGAAGAAAUUCGGUUAAUUUGGAAGAAAUCCAGUUUCUUCCCCAGAAUCUCGGCCUCCUCCAAAAUAGACACAGAUGUCGGACACUGUCAUCCUGGAACUCAGAGCUCAGCGGGGAAGAUGGAGUAUGAAUAAAGUGUUACAACGCAACCCAGCAUCUGGGAGAGGAGGAUGAGUUAACCAGACAAAGAGUGACUGCAGAAGCAAUCCAGGGAGAAAACCAGCCCGUGUGAAGGUCUUGAGGUGUCCAGCUUCUGCAGGAGGAAGUACAGAAGCUCCGAGAUUAGACCACACAGGGUCAAAACCUGCUCCUGCCGCUGACUGGCUGUCUGUCCUUCAUCAGGUCAUUUAACCUCU
rnacentral:lncRNA from 1 species